CCUACGGGUGGCUGCAGUGAGGAAUAUUGGUCAAUGGGCGCGAGACUGAACCAGCCAAGUAGCGUGAAGGAUGACUGCACUACGGGUCGUAAACUUCUUUUAUAAAGGAAUAAAGUCAGGCACGUGUGCCUUUUUGUAUGUACUUUAUGAAUAAGGAUCGGCUAACUCCGUGCCAGCAGCCGCGGUAAUACGGAGGAUCCGAGCGUUAUCCGGAUUUAUUGGGUUUAAAGGGAGCGGAGAUGGGUUGUUAAGUCAGUUGUGAAAGGUUGCGGCUCAACCGUAAAAUUGCAAUUGAUACUGGCAGUCUUGAGUACGAGUGAGGUAGGCGGAAUUCGUGGUGUAGCGGUGAAAUGCAUAGAUAUCACGAAGAACUCCGAUUGCGAAGGCAGCUUGCUAAACUGCCACUGACGUUGAGGCACGAAAGUGUGGGUAUCAAACAGGAUUAGAUACCCGAGUAGUC
rnacentral:rRNA from 1 species